rnacentral:rRNA from 1 species
UAAUGUCUGGGAAACGUGCCUGAUGGAGGGGGAUAACUAACUGGAAACGGUAGCUAAUACCGCAUAAUGUCGCAAGACCAAAGUGGGGGACCUUCGGGCCUCAUGCCAUCAGAUGUGCCCAGAUGGGAUUAGCUAGUAGGUGGGGUAACGGCUCACCUAGGCGACGAUCCCUAGCUGGUCUGAGAGGAUGACCAGCCACACUGGAACUGAGACACGGUCCAG